rnacentral:rRNA from 1 species
AUGAACGCUGGCGGCGUGCCUAAUACAUGCAAGUCGAGCGAACAGAUGAGGAGCUUGCUCCUCUGACGUUAGCGGCGGACGGGUGAGUAACACGUGGAUAACCUACCUAUAAGACUGGGAUAACUUCGGGAAACCGGAGCUAAUACCGGAUAAUAUAUUGAACCGCAUGGUUCAAUUGUGAAAGACGGUUUUGCUGUCACUUAUAGAUGGAUCCGCGCCGCAUUAGCUAGUUGGUAAGGUAACGGCUUACCAAGGCAACGAUGCGUAGCCGACCUGAGAGGGUGAUCGGCCACACUGGAACUGAGACACGGUCCAGACUCCUACGGGAGGCAGCAGUAGGGAAUCUUCCGCAAUGGGCGAAAGCCUGACGGAGCAACGCCGCGUGAGUGAUGAAGGUCUUCGGAUCGUAAAACUCUGUUAUUAGGGAAGAACAAAUGUGUAAGUAACUAUGCACGUCUUGACGGUACCUAAUCAGAAAGCCACGGCUAACUACGUG